GAAUAUUGCGCAAUGGACGAAAGUCUGACGCAGCGACGCCGCGUGUGGGAUGAAGCUCUUCGGGGUGUAAACCACUGUUGCCCGGGACGAAACUCCUUUUUCGAGAGGAUUGACGGUACCGGGUGAGGAAGCACCGGCUAACUCUGUGCCAUCAGCCGCGGUAAUACAGAGGGUGCGAGCGUUGUCCGGAAUCACUGGGCGUAAAGGGCGCGUAGGUGGCUUGGUAAGCGUGUGGUGAAAGUCCGGGGCUCAACCCCGGAUCUGCCGUGCGAACUGCUGAGCUUGAGCACUGUAGAGGCAGGUGGAAUUUCGGGUGUAGCGGUGGAAUGCGUAGAUAUCCGAAAGAACACCAGUGGCGAAGGCGGCCUGCUGGGCAGUUGCUGACACUGAGGCGCGACAGCGUGGGGAGCAAACAGG
rnacentral:rRNA from 1 species